GUGCGAUGUUGCCGGGCAGAUUGGGGUCUGAGACAAAGGCCCGACGCUUUCAAGCCCAGGGGAGACCCCAUCGGCCCCACAGCGCCCUGAGAGCAGGCGGGAGCGAGCUGCGGUCGGCUCUGCUCCCAGUAACAGCAGCAGCACGAGAGGGCAUGGCCUUAAACUGCACCGGGGGGUCAGAAGCAGCACAGCAGCCUAUGGGAAAACACUUCUUCCUUGCAGCUAAGAAUGACCCUGCAGGGCCCUUUGCAGGCGGGUUGAGAAGAUCCUCACAUCUGUUUUCCUUGCAAGGGGCUUUUGACAGCGCUGGACUUAACAGACCUUGAAUGUGAAGCUGUGUGACACGAGGCGUUGAGUUCAGCACAGGAGAAGAAGUUGGUCUGCCAAAGCCAAAAGACAGCCUGCAGCAGUUCCAAGUGGUGGGUGAGACAUAGCAACCCCGGGGAUCAUUGCUUAGCA
ensembl:lncRNA